rnacentral:misc_RNA from 1 species
GAAAUGCGAUAAGUAAUGUGAAUUGCAGAAUUCAGUGAAUCAUCGAAUCCUUGAACGCACCUUGCGCUCCUUGGUAUUCCUUGGAGCAUGCCUAUUUGAGUAUCAUGAAAUCUUCAAAGUAAAUCUUUUGUUAACUCAAUUGGUUUCUACUUUGGUAUUGGAGGUCUUUGCAGCUUCACACCUGCUCCUCUUUGUUCAUUAGCUGGAUCUCAGUGUUAUGCUUGGUUCCACUCGGCGUGAUAAGUUAUCUAUCGCUGAGGACACUGUAAAAGGUGGCCAAGGUAAAUGCAGAUGAACCGCUUCUAAUAGUCCAUUGACUUGGACAAUACUUUUAUGAUCUGAUCUCAAAUCAGGUAGGACUACCCGCUGAACUUAAGC